AACGGCUUACCAAGGCGAUGACGGGUAGCUGAUGUGAGAGCAUGAUCAGCCUCGAUGGGACUGAGACACGGCCCAUACUCCUACGGGAGGCAGCAGUGAAGAAUCUUCCGCAAUGGACGAAAGUCUGACGGAGCAACACCGCGUGGUGGAUGAAGGCCUUCGGGUCGUAAACACCUUUUCUGAGGGAAUAAGUUCUGAAGGUACCUCAGGAAUAAGGCGCUGCUAACUACGUGCCAGCAGCAGCGGUAAUACGUAGGCGCCAAGCGUUAUCCGGAAUUAUUGGGCGUAAAGCGUCUGUAGGCGGUAAUUUAAGUCUGGUGUGAAAUUUCAAUGCUCAACAUUGAAUGCGUACUGGAAACUAGAUUACUAGAGUCUAAGAGAGGCCACUGGAAUCUCUGUUGUAGGGGUAAAAUCCGUAGAUAACAGAGGGAACACCAAAAGCGAAGGCAGGUGGCUGGCUUAGUACUGACGCUCAGGGACGAAAGCGUGGGUAGCGAACGGGAUUAGAUACCCCGGUAGUCCACGCCGUAAACGAUGAGUGCUAGGUAUUGGAGGGAUUCGACCCCCUUCAGUGCCCACAGCUAACGCGUUAAGCACUCCGCCUGGGGAGUACGGUCGCAAGACUAAAACUCAAAGGAAUAGACGGGGACCCGCACAAGCGGUGGAUCAUGUGGUUUAAUUCGAUGAUAAGCGAGAAACCUCACCUAGACUUGACAUCUCGAGAAAGUUCUAGAAAUAGAACCGUGCCUUUUGGAACUCGAUGACAGGUGCUGCAUGGUUGUCGUCAGCUCGUGCCCUGAGGUGUUCGGUUAAGUCCGUAAACGAGCGCAACCCUUGUCAUAUGUUGUAUUUCUCAUAUGAAACUGCCGGCUCCAAGCCGGAGGAAGGUAGGGAUGACGUCAAAUCAGCAUGGCCCUUAUGUCUAGGGCUACACACGUGAUACAAUGGGUCGUACAAUGGGUAGCC
rnacentral:rRNA from 1 species